UACGGAGGGAGCUAGCGUUGUUCGGAAUUACUGGGCGUAAAGCGUGCGUAGGUGGUUCGUUAAGUCUGAUGUGAAAGCCCUGGGCUCAACCUGGGAAUGGCAUUGGAUACUGGCGACCUAGAGUGCGGUAGAGGGGUGUGGAAUUCCCGGUGUAGCAGUGAAAUGCGUAGAUAUCGGGAGGAACACCAGUGGCGAAGGCGACUUCCUGGCCUGUUCUUGACGCUGAGGCGCGAAAGCUAGGGGAGCAAACGGG
rnacentral:rRNA from 1 species